ensembl:snRNA Gm24304 U6 spliceosomal RNA
CUGCUUACUUCAGCAGCAUAUACACUAAAAUUUAAACAAUACAGAGAAGGUUUGUGUGGCUGCUGCACAAGGUUGACACAUGAAUUUGGAAUGUACUCCAUAUUUUU